GUGAAGCCAUGUCCAAUUCUGACAGGAUCGACAUCAAAUGCUUUUAACACCGCAGUACGUCGUUAAGUUUUUAAUUACUAUGGUUAUUGCGCCGGUCCGGCAUUGGGAGAACUACAUUUGAAAUGAAACGGUCAACUGUUUUACGCCAAGUAAUAAUUGAUAAUUCUGCAUUUGCCUACCGGUAGCACUCAGCAAUUGUUUAUUUGUACCUACUUACGUGCGGUUGACUAAACACACGUGCAGCAAAAUGUCUUCAAUCUCCAAGUGCUUGGACCAAGUACAGGAUAUGUUAGAUGACAUGUACAGAUUUUUGGUUAUUCGUAAGACCUUAACUCAGGAAGACCUACGUAUUAUGUUAAUUUUUGUUUCCAAAACUUUGGUGCUGCUUCGUAUUCUGGUUUAUUUAUCCGAACUGGGUGUGGAAUAAACAGGAACGUACCUAAUGAAUACCUAAUCCUGUCUCGCUUAUAAUCACAAUGACGUCUUGCGAAUACCUUUCAUAAUAAAUAAUAAACCAC